rnacentral:lncRNA from 1 species
GGACGCUGGAAAGCGCCGUUCCUGACUCUAAUGUACUUAGACACUUGAAGCCACAAAAGGAUUUAUCCCCGAGGUUCCUCAUCUGCUCGCGAGGAUGCCUUUUCUCUUCUGCCUUGCGAAAUAACAGCAGCCUAGCUGUUGCCCGUGACCAGUGAGAAAGGCAGCGUCGCGGGCUGAUUAGGUUUCACCCAAAGGGUGCCGGCGCCGAAUUGGUUUCUAACGAGAACUUUUAAAAUGAUCCGUUCCAAAAAAGGGUAGGAGCCGCGAGACCCUCCAACUGCCCAGAGAAAACAAGUCUCGUCUGGCAAAGUUCUCGGCCCACGCGGUCCGCGGCCAAGGGCCAACGGUCCCUCGCCCCACGUUGCCGCAGCACUGCGCGUGCGCGAGCCGCUGUCAAACGCGCUGACGGAGGCCGAGAAGAAAAAAAGGCGGGAGCCGUCAAUCCCGGGUUGAGCAAAAUGGCGCGGGAGAAGGAGAUGCAGGAGUUCACCCGUAGCUUCUUCCGAGGCCGCCCGGACCUCAGAGUCCGGCUCUGAAGCCUCCAGCCCAGACUACUUUGGACCCCCAGCAAAGAAUGGGGUGGCAGCAGAAGUCAGCCCAGCCAAAG